UACGUAGGGUGCAAGCGUUGUCCGGAAUUAUUGGGCGUAAAGAGCUCGUAGGCGGUUUGUCGCGUCUGCCGUGAAAGUCCGGGGCUCAACUCCGGAUCUGCGGUGGGUACGGGCAGACUAGAGUGAUGUAGGGGAGACUGGAAUUCCUGGUGUAGCGGUGAAAUGCGCAGAUAUCAGGAGGAACACCGAUGGCGAAGGCAGGUCUCUGGGCAUUAACUGACGCUGAGGAGCGAAAGCAUGGGGAGCGAACAGG
rnacentral:rRNA from 1 species